GACGAAGGGGGCUAGCGUUGUUCGGAAUUACUGGGCGUAAAGCGCGCGUAGGCGGACCUGCAAGUCGGGGGUGAAAGCCCGAGGCUCAACCUCGGAACUGCCUUCGAUACUGAGGAGCUUGAGUCCGGGAGAGGUGAGUGGAACUGCGAGUGUAGAGGUGAAAUUCGUAGAUAUUCGCAAGAACACCAGCGGCGAAGGCGGCUCACUGGCCCGGUACUGACGCUGAGGUGCGAAAGCGUGGGGAGCAAACAGG
rnacentral:rRNA from 1 species